UCACCACGAUCACGACCA
rnacentral:sRNA from 1 species